rnacentral:rRNA from 1 species
GACGAACGCUGGCGGCGUGCCUAAUACAUGCAAGUAGAACGCAGUUGCGAACGGGUGAGUAAAGCGUAGGUAACUGCCUCAUAGCGGGGGAUAACUAUUGGUAACGAUAGCUAAUACCGCAUACUGUGAGAUGGACCUGCGUUGUAUUAGGUAGUUGGUGAGGUAAAGGCUAACCAAGGCGACGAUACAUAGCCGACCUGAGAGGGGUGUCCGCCAACAUGGGACGGGGACAAGGCCCAAGCUCCUGCGGGAGGGAACAAGAGGGAAUCUUCGGCCAUUGGCGGAAGGCUGGCCGAGCAAAUGCGCGUGGGGGAAAGAGGUUUUCGGAUCGUAAAACUCUUUUGUUAGAGAAGCGGUAACUAACCAGAAAGGGACGGCUAACUACGUGCCAGCAGCCGCGGUAAUAC